rnacentral:rRNA from 2 species
UGGCUCAGAUUGAACGCUGGCGGCAGGCCUAACACAUGCAAGUCGAGCGGAUGAAGAGAGCUUGCUCUCUGAUUCAGCGGCGGACGGGUGAGUAAUGCCUAGGAAUCUGCCUGGUAGUGGGGGACAACGUCUCGAAAGGGACGCUAAUACCGCAUACGUCCUACGGGAGAAAGCAGGGGACCUUCGGGCCUUGCGCUAUCAGAUGAGCCUAGGUCGGAUUAGCUAGUUGGUGAGGUAAUGGCUCACCAAGGCGACGAUCCGUAACUGGUCUGAGAGGAUGAUCAGUCACACUGGAACUGAGACACGGUCCAGACUCCUACGGGAGGCAGCAGUGGGGAAUAUUGGACAAUGGGCGAAAGCCUGAUCCAGCCAUGCCGCGUGUGUGAAGAAGGUCUUCGGAUUGUAAAGCACUUUAAGUUGGGAGGAAGGGUUGUAGAUUAAUACUCUGCAAUUUUGACGUUACCGACAGAAUAAGCACCGGCUAACUCUGUGCCAGCAGCCGCGGUAAUACAGAGGGUGCAAGCGUUAAUCGGAAUUACUGGGCGUAAAGCGCGCGUAGGUGGUUUGUUAAGUUGGAUGUGAAAGCCCCGGGCUCAACCUGGGAACUGCAUUCAAAACUGACAAGCUAGAGUAUGGUAGAGGGUGGUGGAAUUUCCUGUGUAGCGGUGAAAUGCGUAGAUAUAGGAAGGAACACCAGUGGCGAAGGCGACCACCUGGACUGAUACUGACACU